rnacentral:tRNA from 2 species
UAUGGCAGAUAAGUGCAAAGGAUUUAAAAUCCUUAUAUAAAGAAAAAUAAUUCUUUUAUUAAAA